UCAGAGUGGUGCAUGACAUUCUCGUUCAUCACUGCCUUUUCUAUACUAAUCAAAAACAAAACUCAUCAAAAAAAUAGCCUCAGAAUUGCAGAAGUAUCAUCAAUGUUAAU
rnacentral:sRNA from 1 species